rnacentral:rRNA from 1 species
CCUACGGGUGGCAGCAGUGAGGAAUAUUGGGCAAUGGAGGCAACUCUGACCCAGCAACGCCGCGUGAAUGAUGAAGGUCUUCGGAUUGUAAAGUUCUUUUAUUAGGGAAGAAGAAAGUGACGCUACCUUCGGAAUAAGCCUCGGCUAACUACGGGCCAGCAGCCGCGGUAAUCCGUAGGAGGCAAGCGUUCUACGGAAUGACGGGGCGUACAGGGUGCGUAGGUGGUUUGACAAGUUGGUAGCGUAAAUCCGGUGCUCAACCUCGGAACUGCUAUCAAAACUGGUGGCCUCGGGUGCAGGAGGGGCAAGUGGAAUUCCUGGUGUAGCGGUGAAAUGCGUAGAUAUUAGGAAGAACACCGGUGGCGAAGGCGGGUUGCUGGACUGUAACUGACGCUGAGGCACGAAAGCGUGGGGAGCAAACAGGAUUAGAUACCCGGGUAGUC